GCUCUUUUCCCCGCCUUUGUUACUGGUGAAAUGGACAAUUAGCACAAUUUUAAAACAUAAAGAGGCCAUCAAGAGUGCUAAUGUUGCUAAGGUGUGAAAGAAAACAGUGACCACAGGCAAUUGAAGAGGCAGAAAACUGUUUUUGAUUUGGAUAAACAAAAAGCAGUUAGCAGGCUGCAUUGCAGAGGCAACCAU